rnacentral:rRNA from 1 species
AGCGAACGUUAGCGGCGGGCCUAACACAUGCAAGUCGAGCGAGAAAGGGGGUUCGCCCCCGAGUACAGCGGCGGACGGGUGAGUAACACGUAGGUAAUUUUCCCUUGAGCGGGGGACAACGUUCCGAAAGGGACGCUAAUACCGCAUAAGUUCUUGGGUGCUUCGGCACUGGAGAGGAAAGCUAGGCCGCAAGGUCUGGCACUCGAGGAGAAGCCUGCGUCGCAUCAGCUAGUUGGUGGGGUAAUGGCCUACCAAGGCAAAGACGCGUAGCUGGUCUGAGAGGAUGAUCAGCCACACUGGGACUGAGACACGGCCCAGACUCCUACGGGAGGCAGCAGUGGGGAAUAUUGGACAAUGGGGGGCAACCCUGAUCCAGCCAUGCCGCGUGUGUGAAGAAGGCCCUAGGGUUGUAAAGCACUUUCAGUGGGGAGAAAGGUUAUUCACCUAAUACGUGAGUAGAUUGAUGUUACCCACAGAAGAAGCACCGGCUAACUCCGUGCCAGCAGCCGCGGUAAU